rnacentral:rRNA from 1 species
AGAGUUUGAUCCUGGCUCAGGAUGAACGCUAGCUACAGGCUUAACACAUGCAAGUCGAGGGGCAGCAUGGUCUUAGCUUGCUAAGGCCGAUGGCGACCGGCGCACGGGUGAGUAACGCGUAUCCAACCUGCCUUACACUCUUGGACAGCCUUCUGAAAGGGAGAUUAAUACAAGAUGUUAUCAUGAGUAAGCAUUUUCGCAUGAUUAAAGGUUUACCGGUGUAAGAUGGGGAUGCGUUCCAUUAGAUAGUAGGCGGGGUAACGGCCCACCUAGUCUUCGAUGGAUAGGGGUUCUGAGAGGAAGGUCCCCCACAUUGGAACUGAGACACGGUCCAAACUCCUACGGGAGGCAGCAGUGAGGAAUAUUGGUCAAUGGACGAGAGUCUGAACCAGCCAAGUAGCGUGAAGGAUGAAGGUUCUAUGGAUUGUAAACUUCUUUUAUACGGGAAUAAACGGAUCCACGUGUGGAUUUCUGCAUGUACCGUAUGAAUAAGGAUCGGCUAACUCCGUGCCAGCAGCCGCGGUAAUACGGAGGAUCCGAGCGUUAUCCGGAUUUAUUGGGUUUAAAGGGAGCGUAGAUGGGUUGUUAAGUCAGUUGUGAAAGUUUGCGGCUCAACCGUAAAAUUGCAAUUGAUACUGGCAGUCUUGAGUACAGUUGAGGUAGGCGGAAUUCGUGGUGUAGCGGUGAAAUGCUUAGAUAUCACGAAGAACUCCGAUUGCGAAGGCAGCUUACUAACCUGUAACUGACAUUGAUGCUCGAAAGUGUGGGUAUCAAACAGGAUUAGAUACCCUGGUAGUCCACACGGUAAACGAUGAAUACUCGCUGUAGGCGAUAUACUGUCUGCGGCCAAGCGAAAGCAUUAAGUAUUCCACCUGGGGAGUACGCCGGCAACGGUGAAACUCAAAGGAAUUGACGGGGGCCCGCACAAGCGGAGGAACAUGUGGUUUAAUUCGAUGAUACGCGAGGAACCUUACCCGGGCUUAAAUUGCAAUCGAAUAUGGCGGAAACGCUAUAGCUAGCAAUAGCGGUUGUGAAGGUGCUGCAUGGUUGUCGUCAGCUCGUGCCGUGAGGUGUCGGCUUAAGUGCCAUAACGAGCGCAACCCUUGCCGAUAGUUACUAACAGGUCAUGCUGAGGACUCUGUCGGGACUGCCAUCGUAAGAUGUGAGGAAGGUGGGGAUGACGUCAAAUCAGCACGGCCCUUACGUCCGGGGCUACACACGUGUUACAAUGGGGGGUACAGAGGGCUGCUACCACGCAAGUGGAUGCCAAUCCCAAAAACCUCUCUCAGUUCGGAUUGAAGUCUGCAACCCGACUUCAUGAAGCUGGAUUCGCUAGUAAUCGCGCAUCAGCCACGGCGCGGUGAAUACGUUCCCGGGCCUUGUACACACCGCCCGUCAAGCCAUGGGAGCCGGGGGUACCUGAAGUGCGUAACCGCAAGGAGCGCCCUAGGGUAAAACUGGUGACUGGGGCUAAGUCGUAACAAGGUAGCCGUACCGGAAGGUGCGGCUG